rnacentral:rRNA from 1 species
AUACGGAGGGGACUAGCGUUGUUCGGAAUUACUGGGCGUAAAGCGUACGUAGGCGGAUCAGAAAGUAUGGGGCGAAAUCCCAGGGCUCAACCCUGGAACUGCCUCAUAAACUCCUGGUCUUGAGUUCGAGAGAGGUGUGUGGAAUUCCGAGUGUAGAGGUGAAAUUCGUAGAUAUUCGGAGGAACACCAGUGGCGAAGGCGGCUCACUGGCUCGAUUCUGACGCUGAGGUACGAAAGUGUGGGGAGCAAACAGGAUUAGAUACCCUAGUAGUCC